rnacentral:lncRNA from 1 species
AAAUGUACUAAACUUGCAUGUUUAGAGAUAAAUCCAUUAAUAACAUGUCUUGGUGAACAGAGAAUAUACAGGAAUACAUCUUGUAUUCUUACAAUUGUACUCAUUCAUUUUAAGCAGAUGCCAACUUAUCAACUGUAUGGUUCCUACUUUCUAUUUCUGUUCUACUUUAUUGUUCAAAUACUCAUAGUUACAUAACUACACACCUUUGUAAUUGAUUUCCUAGGAAUUUUCAGGCCAGUAUGGAGCUCCAGGCAGGCAUGCUCUACGUUAGCAGUGUCAGAGCUGUGCACUGAAGUGACAUGAGUUGCCUUUUGGUAAAACUAAUAAGAAAACAGAAUUGUUUCGUUCCAGCCCCAAAGCAGCAGCAUGAAAAACAGUAGUGGAUGCAAUGUGGUAAUACAGGGUAUAAUGACAGAGUUUUAUUCCUGUAAAAUAGCCCUUGGUGAUUUUAAACCCAGAAAAUCCAUUGCUACUCAGAGAUAGCUGAAGCAGUUUUAUCACAUGAUGCAGGCUGCAUCAGAAAUGGCUUGCAGCAAACAAGUGGAGUUAGAGGACAGACUUCCCAGAGGUACUCUCUGGGGGGCUGAUGUCCCCUCACUGCAGUCAACAAAAUCCUCCUGACUUCUGAAGUAGAAAAGUUUUUAAUUAAAGCCUAGCAGCUUCUGAAAAUCCUUUGCUCUUGCUGUCCAGCUGUGUGUUUCAGCAGUAAAGUUUGUGCUAGCACAGAAAAUAGACCAGUAUUAAAACUAUGUGAGGCAGAGGUGCAGCAGUUAACAAAGACACUGAUGCUUUUUUUAAACCAGACUUCUGAGGGAUUUGUUUUCUGUCCUCCAGGAAGAAAGCUUUGCAGCAUCAGAAGAACAAAGAUACAAAGCAGCAUCAGAUGAUAAAUGUAAAGUGACUUCUGUUGGAGAUGACAAACCUGAUGUUACAGACCCUGUCAGAGCUCACUUGCAGCAAAGCAGAGAGAGACAUGAUCAACUAGAAUCCAGUACAUGUACAACUGAUCGAGUUCAGGGGCUGAAAUUUCAGGUAAACUGCUUCUACUCUAUCAGUGUUAUAUUUUUUUAAAAAAUCAAGUUCUGCUUUAGGUACUGUCUCAGUAGAGUAUUUUUAUGGAUGAAAAUAUAAUUUUAAUAAGUGAGAAACUCUACUUUCACCCACAUUAAACUUGAGCAUCCUCAUUCUUUAUUCCAAAGUGCUACAAUAAAUUCCUAACUAUUUGGACUUGACUUUACAGUUCUGGAGAGAUCAGAUGUGCUAGUAGGAGCACUAAAAGCCUGAAAGCCUGAACAGAUGCACAGCAAGAGUCCAAUAAACCUCCCUUGUCUACAGUUCUCUGGAGUGAGCCACAGAAAUUCAGCAAAGCAAUUUCUGUUUGUAGAAAGCCAGGAGGAAUGGAGAAACAAUACAAGCUGACAGCUGAAAGAUUUUUUGGGGGGUACUAAAGCAGAAGCAAAAGUAGCCAGAGGCUAAAGGACCUGCUACUGUAGAUGCAAACAACAAAAUGAUUAGCAUUCAAGCCACUGAUUUUUAUAUUCUGAUGAAAAUGAACAGAAACCUUAAUACUAUCAGCUACAAAAAGAUGACAGAUGUAUUUAGAUCACAUCACUAAUUCCAAACAUGGAAUCUAGUCCUUUGGCAAAGUUAAGCAUCCAGGGAGUUAGUGGGACUGCUCAUGUUUAAAGCAUAUGAUCUUGGCCAUAGCUGCAGUGUGCAGUUGCUCAGCAGUAAAUUGGAUAAUUUAGGGUACGCCACAACCCCCAAAAAAGGGGUUUAGCAUGGUCUGCAAAAAGCCAGAACCUGAAUCAAUAGCUCAUGUGCCUAGACUGAACACCUGACAUAUUUCAGCACGUUUCUGAGUUGGGGCUCUAGGUAGUGAAUUUAAUUUGCAUUUCAUUUCUUUACCAGACUAGCAAAAGUACCAACAGGAGAGUGGCUUGUGAGCCAGCUGCUCUAAAAUCAGUGCCAGCCUACAGAAGCUAAUGUACACCCAAUAUCCACACCACAUGGAUCAUGCUCUCUCUGGUCUACACUGUGACAUGGGGUUCUCUCUGAGGAUCAUAGGCUGUCAUCACAGAGGCUUGAUCAUAUAUUUUAUUCCACUGAUUGUAUCUUUAAUUGCUUAGAGCAGAAGAAUCUGGAAUUACACAGUCACAUAACUGGAUUUAAAAGGCACACAAUGUACAAAUAUAUAUAAAAAUCAAUGUACAAAGUGGGCUGCAUAUAAUUGCAUUAACUAGAAAACAAAUGUACAGGCUAUAAAAAUGGAGUCCCAAAGAGGAAGCUACUAUUAAAGUGCUAACAAGAAAAGAUAUUUAUAGCUCAUUACACACAUUAAAAAGAGCCUCAUGUUUUAUUCCUGCUAUUGCCAGGAAACAACAAACAUCACAGAACAAAAGUUAAAUCAACACUUUGUCCUGCACUGACAUUUACUACAUGGGUGUGUUCCACCAUGUCUUCUGAGAUUGCUGUGACAGAAUAGAUACCAGGAGAAACUUCAAUGUAGAAAUCUUUGGAAGGUCUUCUGGGCUUUAAGGGAAAAAAAGGAAAAAAAAAAUAAAAAGAAGAAAAGCUAUGUUAUUGGUUACUUAUCUUAGCUUUCCAAAAAAAAAAAAAAAAAGUGUUUGGGUAAAAAAAUUACAUUUCAGCUGCUAUAUAAAUAUAAUAAGACUUUUCUAAAUACAUGGAAGGCAGUGCAAGCAAAACUGUAAAAUGUUUCUGUCAGUACAAAAAUUAGCAAGUGCCAUACUCAAAGCAUUUUUAGCUAAUGUUUCAACCAGUGGAAGUAAUCACUGUGCUGUAAUUUAUGCUGUUUCUCAUCUUUUGUGGCGGAGAAGUUCCUGAAGUUGUUUUGUUGAGGUGUUAGGCUUUGAAAAAUAAAUUCAGUUUUCUUCUCCUUGAGGAACAGGAGUCUUCAGGGAGCCUGUGGAAGGGCCAAGGGCAAGAAUGCCACAAUCUGGUUUCUAACUAAUUGUGCAAGUCUCUGUAUGCCCAUUUGACUGCCUAUACAUAUAUUCUGAUUUUGAAUGCACCAUUGGUAAAUCUUCUGUGCCAUCAAGGUCUCCAGAUCUGUCACAGUUUGUAACCAGCUUGAUUCAAAACGAUAAAAGAAAUGCUAGCAAAUACUUCAACUUAAAACCAAAGUAUUCUGUACACUUACUCUUUGCUGGCAAGCUUGAGCUUGCCUGGCUUCCACAGGACCUUCAGUCCCCUGGAAAGAAAAAGAGAAUUAUUUUUUAAUGAUCCAGCACACAAAGCAAAUCCAGGCCAAGAGAAGGGAAGCUUUUAGGUGCAUGAAGUUUUUCCCUUCACAAAAGGAUGGAUAGGACACUGAUCAGUGCCACAAGAAGUGACUCUGCCUUCCCCAACCCAACACAGGCUUGGAUCAGUCCAGGUGUUCUUAUGUCAUAAGGUCAACCUACAUACAUGAGUGUGAGUGCCACAGACAUCAGGUGGAUGACAAGUGCCCCACAGCAAGGGAAGGAGCAACCUUUCAUCAAAACCAGAAGUCCCUACUUACCUCUUCUUCUAUGGAAUCCAUCUUUCUUUCUACUGACUUGCCAUGGUAUUUGCAGAGGUGUUUGAUUUCAUUCUCUUUGCACUUGUUGGCUGCCAUAGACCCAUAGCACUUCUGGACAGCAACAGAAACAGAAAAUAUCAUGUAGGAGAUACCAAACCAUACUUGCAGCCACUGCAGAUUUAAAAUUGAAAGUAGAACUACACAGAUAGUGAUGGUGUGCACUAAUUGGCUGGUUUAUUCUCUGUGAGGGUGAGAACAAUGCCUGUAUCUCCAAAGGCCACCUGCCUUCUGCUACAGGACUCUCUCACAGGCUUGAUUUUAGAUGCCUGCUUCCUAACACAAUAUGUAUGGCAGGGACACUGACACAUCAGAACUGAAUUCAUGAAAAUGUCAGAAGGAAUACUCUGGAAAUGCCUGCCUGUUCAGGCUGGUCAAGAAAAGCCGUGGUGGAAGAAGGCAUAGUUUAUGGGUCCUUAAGAGGACAUGUAUGCAAGCCAGGUGCUCUUCAACCCAGUCAGUGAAGAUGGGUUCUGCAGGGCAUGUGCAGCAGCAGUGCUCUAAAAGCAGAAUAUGUUAAUAAUGAAAAAUGAGUCAGUAAAGAAGCUGAAGUGUCUUCAAGGCUGGGACUAUUUUCACAGCAGUUUUGAGAAGUGUAUUUAAGCACACAGCAGCCUUCUUCUGGUUCCACUGCAGAUGUACUAGCAUCUUCCCCACUGCAAAUUAAACUCUUGAGUACAGUUCUGCUGCCAUCUGUUGUCACCACAGAGCUCCUCCCAAGGUUACCUUGUUGAUCACAGGGACCAAAAAGAUCCAAAAUAUCUCUUAUUUCACUGGUGUUUUACAAAAAUAAGGCAAAUAGCAAUUCUUACUUCCAAAUCUACUGCUGUGCUUUAUUCCUUGAGUUUAUGCUCAAAUCAACAGCUCUGGUUGCUUGUAUUGCAGUAUUUGUGAAACUACAAAUAUAUCAGAUACUCUGACCUGGUGCAUAAUGCUUCACAGAGCAUCUCUUUUGCAUGAUGGUACAGAGCAAAGAAAUUAAAUCCAACUUUUGGUGAGAAAUGGGUAAAUUUUAAUCCCUUAGUAACCCUUAACAUCUCAUCUUAAACUACAAGUUUGUUUGCAUUCAAGUGCCUAAAUGGUUGUGUUCAGCUGUGGAUUUUUAUUUGCACUUUGUAAAACUUAGCCAUGAACUUGUGGGUCUGACAUUUUCCCCCUUUAAUGACUCUUCUUUUCUACAGAAGUGACUGAAGCCUAAAUGUGGAAGUCAUCCAUUGCUUGUUCCAACUUUAAUACUCUUAACAGAGCACAAGAUAGACCCACAGAAUAAUUUAGGUUGGAAGGCACCCUUAGGAUCAGAGUCCAACUGUAAACCUAGUACUGCCAAGUCACUGGUAAGGAUGAGCCUCACUACACUUUGUAAAAUUCUAUUCUGCCCCAGUUUUAGAAUUAACUGGUUACUGUGAGUGUAGUACUUUGAAAUUAUAAAGGAUUCCUUAAGAACUAAUCACUUGGUGUGCUGAAGUACUAUUUUCUCUAAUUUAAUUGCAGAUUUGGGCUCUGUAUUAGCUCUGCAGGCAGUGAUCUCUCUGCUGUGUUAGGAUAACAGUUCCCUCAGGGCACAAACUGAAUGGAGUUCUCAGAGACUUCAGUGCAGUAGCUGGGCUGCAGGGCUGUGCUCACAAGGCUGGCUCCCAAUCAGCCCACCCAGCAGAGCAGUGACACCUGCCAGCCAGAGCCAGUGCAAGAACAGCGGAGCUGUGCACCUGUACACCAAACCUCUCAAUUUCAGCUCAUCACACACAAAGAGCUGAGCCCACACUCCUUACGCAGUAGCAACAUCCCAAAUCCAGUUUGGCCUGGUUUUGUCUGGGAUAGGGCAAGCUUUCCUCCUAGUAGUUGGCAGAGUGCUGUGUUUUGGAUUUAGUAGGAGCACAGUGUCGAUAACAAACUGAUGUUUUGGUUAUUGCUGAGUAGUGCUCACCCUAAGCCAAGGACUGUUUUCAUGCUCUGCCAGUGGGGAGGUGUAGAAAGUGCCAGGAGGGAGCAGGGCUGUGACAGCUGACCCAAACUAGCCAAAAGGAAAUUCCAUCCCAUAGAAUGUCAUGUAUAUAAACAGGGAGAGUUGUCUGGGGACUGCCUGGGCAAUGGUCAGUGAGUGGCGAGCAACUGUAUUGUGCAUUACGUGUUCUUCUCAGGUUUUAUUUCUCUGUCCUCUUUUCAUCACAAUUAUUACUGUUAUUACUGUUGGUAUUAUCAUAUUUUUCUUUGUUUCAAUCAAUAAACUGUUCUUAUCUCAACCCACGAGUUUUAUUUUCUCCAGAUUCUCCUCCCCAUCCUGCCAGGGGAGGUGGGCAGGGAGGGAGUGAGCUGUAUGAUACUAAGUUGCUGGUGGGGUUAAAUCACAGCAGCAAGACUAAAUUCAAAACAAACACAGGACACAAGGCAUCUCUUCACUCGAGAUUCAAACUCUCCCUUAUUUCCAGCACCCAGACUGGAUAUCAGCCAGCACGAGAGGUUCAAUAACAACAAAAGGUUACUAUGUCAUAAGGCCAUUUCCCAGCAGAGGUACUGAGUACAGAGCACUGGAAACAUUCCUUACCUUGUGACACAAUGUAUUUUGUGAUGCCACCUGACAUUUCUGCCCCUCUAGCCAUACUGCGUUUCCACCAUGAAAUGGAAAAACCUUCUGCUAAAAUCUGCACCGAACUACUGGUGCUCUCUAUAGAAAAUACGGAUAGUGGUGAUGCUGAAUGCCCCAAAUGUUCUCACCUCGGCCGGCACCAGGCUCACUGGCUAUACAAUGAGCAAACCCUGAAGCCUCAUUUUUGCAGUAGAAGUGGUGAGGCCUCUGGCAGGCACAUUCCCCUCACCUCGCAUUCCUCUGAGACUCCUCUCAUCAAAUUCACAAUCGACGCGAACGCUGCAUUGAGGCGUUCCCGGUCUCGGUCCUGCAACGAAAGACAUUCCUGGUCAUUCCGCCCGCCGCUUAGAGCACGAGGGUGGCGGGGCACCGAGCCGCGGAGCCCCGGUCACCGUCUCGGGGGCACCGGGCGGGGCGGGUAGCUGAGCCCCGAACGGAGAUGUGUUUCCGUGCAUCUCCAUCGCUAUCUGUAUCUGUGUGUGCGUGUCCCGGCGGGCCCGCGGCCCGUACGGAGAGGUAUCCCGUGUAUCUAUCUCCGCGCAUCUCCAUCGCUCUCUGUAUCUGUGUGUGCGGGCCCGCGGGU